rnacentral:miRNA from 1 species
CCUGUGUCACGGGUCUGGGUGGGGCCCAAGAUCUGCAUGUCUCGAGAGCUCCCAGUAAGGUCCAUCGUGCUGGUCCAGGGA